rnacentral:ncRNA from 1 species
AGAAGCUUUACUCUGUGCAAUUCAAUCCGAUGAAACAUUGUGCAGAGU